UAACUUCGGGAAACCGGAGCUAAUACCGGAUAAUAUAUUGAACCGCAUGGUUCAAUAGUGAAAGACGGUUUUGCUGUCACUUAUAGAUGGAUCCGCGCCGCAUUAGCUAGUUGGUAAGGUAACGGCUUACCAAGGCAACGAUGCGUAGCCGACCUGAGAGGGUGAUCGGCCACACUGGAACUGAGACACGGUCCAGACUCCUACGGGAGGCAGCAGGC
rnacentral:rRNA from 1 species